AAGUGCCUACAGCAAUGCCGCUGCCGGCUGGGUGUGUUUUGUGGUAGAAUUCGGCAGAGCUCGUCGCACAGCGCACAGUAGGUGCAAAGCAAAUGGUGGCCCUGACGGUCUGGACCUACAAGCAUCUCUUUGGGACAGCCCCCAUCGGCUGAGUGUGGGGCCUGAGGCACGCAGCGGCCAGAGCCUCAUCUGAGCAGGGCGAAGCUGCUUCCGUGUGCCGCACCUGACCUCGCUGGCCCCAGCAGGGCCCAGGGCCGGGGCUACGGAGAACAGGCACUAUGUCGGAAACCGCGGCGCGAGCCGGAACACAACGUCCUUUGUAAACCCUUCACACCUGGUCCACACCAGCACGCGUCCAGCGCCUGAGGCCUUCGGAACCCUGAGUACCCUGCACCCCGGUGACGGAGUGGGGUGAAGGAGGCGCAGCGCCCUCCCGACUCGGGCUCCACGGCCUGGCUGACGGAGGAAGGAGAGGAGAGCUCCGUGGUAUCCCCUCGGCCGAGCGCCGCGGGCCCGGGAGGCCAUUUUGAGAGCGCGAGGAGCGGCCGCAAGAUGGCUGCGUGGGCACCAGGACAUGCUCUGAAGUCAGAAGGCAGAGAAGAGAGAAGCUUGAGCACUGGUGGCAGAAGACGGAAGGUGGGUCCCUGCCAGUCCAGCCAGCCCUACCCGAGACUGAGGCCAUCUCCAGGUCCCUGGGUUGGUGGCAUUUCCUUGCACCUGGCCGCCAGCAGUGGCGUUUCACCUUGCCUUGGUAGCAGCAGCCAUCUCGGGGCAGAUUUAAAGAGAGAAGAGACAGAAAGAUCUUCCAUCAGCUGGCUCACUCCACAAAUGGCCACAACCACCAGAGCCAGUCUGAUCCAAAGCUGGAAACUAGGAGCUUCCUCUGGGUCCCUCAUAUUGCCCUCCAAGUGAAGUGAUGGGACAGCCCCUUUCCAACUUGUAUGGAGUUGGGGACAGAGAAGUCAGUCGCAGCACCCGCCAAGGUCACAGGACUGGAGUACAGCCGAGCUCAUCAAGGAGGGGACAGGGAAGCAGCACCCAACCCUGCAUGCGGAGUCAGGGAUGAAGACGGAGGGGGACUCGGCAGUGCUGCCAUUGGGGGUCACCUGGCAUGGCCCCCAGGGAAAUGUGUCCAAUUCACCUGAUGGGACCUUUGCUUUUGUCUAUGGGCCCAGCACACCUCAAUCUGUUCUGAGUCUGAUGGGCUGUGGGGCACUCUGGCCAGGCCUCUCCCCUUCUGCCCUCCUGAACCCCCCUGCCAAGGGAAACUGCCACCAAUAUGUCCACCUCAAAGAAGGCAGCAUGCCAGGAAAGCUACCCAAGCACGGGGCAGCAGCCUUCUAGCAGCUAACGAUUCCCCCUCCCCAGCUGUCCUCCUCCUUGGUGCUCCUCUUCCUCCCUCCUCCUGCUCACAGCAGGCAAGGCCUGACUGGGGGAGGCGUGCUGCUGUGCUGUUGCCAGGGAGCUGGGAGGCUGGCUUGAGCUAUGCAGGGAAAAGGCUCUGCCUGUCAGGGUGUCUGGGAUGAGCCGAGGGCCUGUGCUGCUGGGCUCCAACACGUCUCGCCUCUUGUUCUGUGUCUGAGAACAGUGAAGCUGGGCAAGGUUCAAGGGCAAGCUCGCCAUUCAUUGGUCAGGGGUUCUCCAUGUCCCAUGGCUCCCAGGGAUGCCUCCCCCUACUUCUCCCUCCUGUGACACAUUUCAGUGCCUUUGGUCAGGACUACACACCAGCCUUUGCCCAACCCCCUCUCUCAAGCUCCCUGAAUAAUCUCUUCCAGGGGCACCUGGCAGCAUAAACCCAACAGCUGCAGGAAGCCCUUUUGACAGGAUCCCAGCCUUGCUGGCCUGCUCUGCAUUCCAGGGCCUGUGUGGGCUCUACUACCUCCUGACUCACAGCACCCUUAGGCCAGCUGCCUGCACAGGCCUGGACGGGUGACUAGUGAGCACUGCCCUAUGGACCAUGUGCCAGUGUCAUGCAGUUCUCUGGACUCCCUGAAUGUCCCCAUAUCCACAGGGGUCCAAAUCAGUGCCAUCACGGGCACUGUUGCUAGGAGAAUGCCAGUGAUCAUCGUAUUUGUA